rnacentral:rRNA from 1 species
GGAAAAGAAACCAACAGGGAUUGCCCCAGUAACGGCGAGUGAAGCGGCAACAGCUCAAAUUUGAAAUCUGGCUCCUUUGGGGUCCGAGUUGUAAUUUGCAGAGGGUGCUUUGGCGUCGGCCGUGGUCUAAGUUCCUUGGAACAGGACGUCACAGAGGGUGAGAAUCCCGUACGUGGCCGCCGGCCUUCGCCGUGUAAAGCCCCUUCGACGAGUCGAGUUGUUUGGGAAUGCAGCUCUAAAUGGGAGAUAAAUUUCUUCUAAAGCUAAAUAUUGGCCAGAGACCGAUAGCGCACAAGUAGAGUGAUCGAAAGAUGAAAAGCACUUUGGAAAGAGAGUCAAAAAGCACGUGAAAUUGUUGAAAGGGAAGCGCUUGCAGCCAGACGUGCCCGCAGUUGCUCACCCGGGCUUUUGCCCGGGGCACUCUUCUGUGGGCAGGCCAGCAUCAGUUCGGGCGGUUGGAUAAAGGCCUCUGUCACGUACCACCCUCUCGGGGGCGGCCUUAUAGGGGAGGCGCAACACGACCAGCCCGAACUGAGGACCGCGCAUUAUGCUAGGAUGCUGGCGUAAUGGCUGUAAGCGGCCCGUCUUGAAACACGGACCAAGGAGUCUAACAUCUAUGCGAGUGUUUGGGUGUCAAGCCCGGGCGCGCAAUGAAAGUGAACGGAGGUGGGAACCCCUCGGGGCGCACCAUCGACCGAUCCUGAAGUCUUCGGAUGGAUUUGAGUAAGAGCAUAGCUGUUGGGACCCGAAAGAUGGUGAACUAUGCCUGAAUAGGGUGAAGCCAGGGGAAACCCUGGUGGAGGCUCGCAGCGGUUCUGACGUGCAAAUCGAUCGUCAAAUUUGGGCAUAGGGGCGAAAGACUAAUCGAACCAUCUA